GACGAACGCUGGCGGCGUGCUUAACACAUGCAAGUCGAACGGAAAGGCCCUGCUUUUGUGGGGUGCUCGAGUGGCGAACGGGUGAGUAACACGUGAGUAACCUGCCCUUGACUUUGGGAUAACUUCAGGAAACUGGGGCUAAUACCGGAUAGGAGCUCCUGCUGCAUGGUGGGGGUUGGAAAGUUUCGGCGGUUGGGGAUGGACUCGCGGCUUAUCAGCUUGUUGGUGGGGUAGUGGCUUACCAAGGCUUUGACGGGUAGCCGGCCUGAGAGGGUGACCGGCCACAUUGGGACUGAGAUACGGCCCAGACUCCUACGGGAGGCAGCAGUGGGGAAUAUUGCACAAUGGGCGGAAGCCUGAUGCAGCAACGCCGCGUGCGGGAUGACGGCCUUCGGGUUGUAAACCGCUUUCGCCUGUGACGAAGCGUGAGUGACGGUAAUGGGUAAAGAAGCACCGGCUAACUACGUGCCAGCAGCCGCGGUGAUACGUAGGGUGCGAGCGUUGUCCGGAUUUAUCGGGCGUAAAGGGCUCGUAGGUGGUUGAUCGCGUCGGAAGUGUAAUCUUGGGGCUUAACCCUGAGCGUGCUUUCGAUACGGGUUGACUUGAGGAAGGUAGGGGAGAAUGGAAUUCCUGGUGGAGCGGUGGAAUGCGCAGAUAUCAGGAGGAACACCAGUGGCGAAGGCGGUUCUCUGGGCCUUUCCUGACGCUGAGGAGCGAAAGCGUGGGGAGCGAACAGGCUUAGAUACCCUGGUAGUCCACGCUGUAAACGGUGGGUACUAGGUGUGGGGUCCACUCCACGGGUUCCGUGCCGUAGCUAACGUUUUAAGUACCCCGCCUGGGGAGUACGGCCGCAAGGCUAAAACUCAAAGGAAUUGACGGGGCCCCGCACAAGCGGCGGAGCAUGCGGAUUAAUUCGAUGCAACGCGUAGAACCUUACCUGGGUUUGACAUGGAUCGGGAGUGCUCAGAGAUGGGUGUGCCUCUUUUGGGGUCGGUUCACAGGUGGUGCAUGGCUGUCGUCAGCUCGUGUCGUGAGAUGUUGGGUUAAGUCCCGCAGCGAGCGCAACCCUUGUUCACUGUUGCCAGCACGUUAUGGUGGGGACUCAGUGGAGACCGCCGGGGUCAACUCGGAGGAAGGUGGGGAUGACGUCAAGUCAUCAUGCCCCUUAUGUCCAGGGCUUCACGCAUGCUACAAUGGCUGGUACAGAGAGUGGCGAGCCUGUGAGGGUGAGCGAAUCUCGGAAAGCCGGUCUCAGUUCGGAUUGGGGUCUGCAACUCGACCUCAUGAAGUCGGAGUCGCUAGUAAUCGCAGAUCAGCAACGCUGCGGUGAAUACGUUCCCGGGGCU
rnacentral:rRNA from 1 species